AACGAACGCUGGCGGCGCGCUUAACACAUGCAAGUCGAACGAGAAGGCGUAGCAAUACGCUGGUACAGUGGCGAACGGGUGAGGAAUACAUGGGUAACCUACCCUCGAGUGGGGGAUAACCCGCCGAAAGGCGGGCUAAUACCGCGUACGCUUCCGAUCUUGCGGGAUCGGAAGGAAAGCUGUCCCAAGGGGACGGCGCUCAAGGAUGGGCUCAUGUCCUAUCAGCUUGUUGGUAGGGAACGGCCUACCAAGGCAUCGACGGGUAGCUGGUCUGAGAGGACGAUCAGCCACACUGGCACUGCGACACGGGCCAGACUCCUACGGGAGGCAGCAGUGAGGAAUAUUGCGCAAUGGGCGAAAGCCUGACGCAGCGACGCCGCGUGGGGGAUGAAGGUCUUCGGAUU
rnacentral:rRNA from 1 species